rnacentral:rRNA from 1 species
CCUACGGGUGGCAGCAGUCGAGAAUCAUUCACAAUGGGGGAAACCCUGAUGGUGCGACGCCGCGUGGGGGAAUGAAGGUCUUAGGAUUGUAAACCCCUGUCAUGUGGGAGCAAAUUAAAAAGAUAGUACCCCAAGAGGAAGAGACGGCUAACUCUGUGCCAGCAGCCGCGGUAAUACAGAGGUCUCAAGCGUUGUUCGGAAUCACUGGGCGUAAAGCGUGCGUAGGCUGUUUCGUAAGUCGUGUGUGAAAGGCGCGGGCUCAACCCGCGGACGGCACAUGAUACUGGGAGACUAGAGUAAUGGAGGGGGAACCGGAAUUCGCGGUGUAGCAGUGAAAUGCGUAGAGAUCGAGAGGAACACUCGUGGCGAAGGCGGGUUCCUGGACAUUAACUGACGCUGAGGCACGAAGGCCAGGGGAGCGAAAGGGAUUAGAUACCCCUGUAGUC